rnacentral:rRNA from 1 species
AGUGAACGCUGGCGGUAGGCCUAACACAUGCAAGUCGAACGGCAGCACAGAGGAGCUUGCUCCUUGGGUGGCGAGUGGCGGACGGGUGAGGAAUACAUCGGAAUCUACUCUGUCGUGGGGGAUAACGUAGGGAAACUUACGCUAAUACCGCAUACGACCUACGGGUGAAAGCAGGGGAUCUUCGGACCUUGCGCGAUUGAAUGAGCCGAUGUCGGAUUAGCUAGUUGGCGGGGUAAAGGCCCACCAAGGCGACGAUCCGUAGCUGGUCUGGGAGGAUGAUCGGCCACACUGGAACUGAGACACGGUCCAGACUCCUACGGGAGGCAGCAGUGGGGAAUAUUGGGCAAUGGGCGCAAGCCUGAUCCAGCCAUACCGCGUGGGUGAAGAAGGCCUUCGGGUUGUAAAGCCCUUUUGUUGGGAAAGAAAUCCAUCUGGUUAAUACUCGGGUGGGAUGACGGUACCCAAAGAAUAAGCACCGGCUAACUUCGUGCCAGCCGCCGCCGUAA